UCAUUUUUCAAAUCAUACGAUAUUCCAGGAGAAUGCCUGCUAAUGUUUGGGAGUAACUGGUCUCUGAAGAAGCCUUGAAGAGAUUUUCAUCUGCAUCUGUAAGCAGUAAUUUGUGGUUUGUCAUCUCAUGGUUUCACAAUACGUAUCUGACACGGGAAGUCAAGAUGAGAAAAAAAACCUAACAAACAGCUACCUCCAACUUGUACCUCAUAUGAAGACCAAAAGGAACAGGACCACCAACACCAGCAGAACACUAGUAUCAGCUGCAUUCUCCUGAGCCAAAUGCCACUUUAAGGGGCAAAGGAGAGGAACUCGAGAUCCGGUACAAAGAAGGUGAGGCCUCCAACACAGUAUCUGGGGUAAAGGAUCAACUCACUUAAUAUUGAGAAGCUCCAAAGCCUCAGGAGGUACAGACUCUCACAGUAGAUCACUGCUGACAUCUGCAGCCUCC